AGUAAACCCCAUUUCCCAUUUUCCUUUUCCCAUUUCCCUUUUCCCUUUUCCUUCUCCUUCUCCUUCUUCCUCCUUCUUCUGAGAUUUCGAGUGCUUACAAGCGAGAUUCAUCCUCUUCCUCUUGUCUCAAACUGGUUCUUUUCUUUUCCUUCUUCUCUGUGCAGCAGAAUCCGGCAAUGGGCAGCAGACUCGGCCUUCACCGAACCAAGAACACCACUUCUCACGGUGGUUCUGCAACCAAGAACAAACUAAGGAGACGACGUCAUCGAGGAACCUUUCUAGUGAUCGCGGAGAAACGGACUUCGCUUCUUGAAGCGUCAUUGUUGUUUACAGAUCGAAUCCUGUCGAGAACGAUGGGUUAGCAAUGUUGAUUAGAGUGCCAAGGAUGUCCUUUUGAGCUGAGCACAUGGGAAUUUGUAGUUUGUAUUAGGAUUUUGAUAAAUGUAUAUAAGUCUUGAUUAUGUUGGUUAUUUUGGACUCGAAGUGAAUUGUGUGUUUACUUUAUGUUUAAGUUAGAUGUUUUGGUUUGAGAAUUUUAGCUGAAUUAAUUACGUCAAAGAGCUGGUGACCCCUUUGCUCAGGUUUUGGAGAUGUGAUUUAAGUUUCUUGGGAAAUGAACCCCGUGAUGACCCUGUUUACCCAGUCAACGGUAAGCCGGGUUGUUACAAUUUAAUCACGAACCUUUAUUUCAGGGUCCGACUUUUUGACAUGGCUGACUAUGCAAAAUAUUUAUUUUCACAAUAAAACCCCUCCCAGAGGGUCCGACUCA